AAAAGAUGUUCAUUUUGGCUGGGAAGUUUUUUGGAUGCAUACUAAGUUCCUUAGCCUUUUGAAAGAUCACAUUUCAGGCCCUUUGAUCUUUUAAUGUGGACACUGCUAGAUCCUGAGUAAUGAUUAUUGUGGCUCUUCUAGAUUUGAAUUGAUUUUUUUCUAGCAGCUUGCAGUAUUUUUUCCUUCAUCAGAUAGUUCUGGAAUUUGGUCACUCUAUUUCUUGGGGUUUUGAUUUUAGGGUGCCUUUCAGUAGGUGAUGGCUGAAUUCUUUCAAUGUCUAUUUGACAUUCUGUUUCUAUAACAUCUGGGCAGUUCUCUUUGAUCAUUUCCUGGAAAAUAGUGUCUAGGCUUUUUUUUUCAUCCUAUUUUUCAGGAAGUCCAAUAAUUCUCAGAUUAUCUCUCCUACAUCUGUUUUCCAUAUCUGUUGUUUCUUCAAGAAGGUAUUUGACAUUUUUUCCCAUUGUUUCAGUCUUUUGAUUUUGCUUAAGCAAUUCCUGGUGUCUUCUUGAAUCAUUCAUUUCCAUUUCUUCGAUUCUGAUUUGUAAUGAAUUAUUUUCUAGACUCACUUUUUUAUAUCUUUUUCUAUUUGUCCAUUUGAGUUUUUAAGUGAGUUGUUUUGUUCUAUGGAAUUUUUUUCCAUUUCACAAAUUUUGUUUUUUAAAAAGCUAUUUUCUUUUUCCAACUCACUAAUUCUGUUUCUCAAGUAUUUGAUUUUUCUAUUCACUCUAUCUUUAAAUGAGUGGGAUGAUUUAGCCAGUCUCUUGCCAAGCUUUCCUUUCCUUUACCAUUUUUCUUCUAGCUCUCUUAUGAGAGGCUUUUUAAUUUCUUUUAUGAGAGUCUUGUGUGUUGAGGACCAGAUCGUAUCCUCCUCCCACUUUGGGGAUUCAUCUGGAGACAGUCUGUUUUUAGUCUUCUCAGGAUUUUAAAGUCUGCUUUCUAUCCAUAUAGAAGCUAUCAAUAAUUAGAGUGAGGGGGGGAGGCUGCAUGGUAUUACCAAGCUUCCUCUACAGACUGCACGGGGCAGCAGCAAGGCACUAGCAGGACAGCAAUGGCUGCCUUGCAUCUGUGCUCUGAGACUCUGAGAGUGUACUGAGACAUACAGUGCUAGGUGUGGCCAGGUCCCAAGAGAUGCUGGCUUUUCUGGCUUAUAGUCUUUACCUCCUGUGUUUUUAGCUUCUCUCUUUGUCUCCUGGCUUGCUGCCAGGGCAAAGUAGCCAAUACUGUCAUAAAUGUCUCCCUGCAGAAACGUCUGAGAUCACACCCCAUGCACCUCUCGUCUGCUCACCUGUGAGCUGCCUGCCUUACUCUGUCUGCUGUGUUGCCACUGCCUGCCUUCUGUUUGUGCCUGAACUAGCUGUCCUCAUCCCCGAGCAAAACAGACCUUUUCUGCUGCAUUUUGAGGAUAUCUUCUCUUGACCUAGGAACCGCUGCUUGGCAGAAGGCUCUGCCAACAGGUCCUAGGGAAUCCUCAGCCAGAGUCGACCUCACCACAUGGCGCCCUGGUGUGGAAAAGAAAAGUAAACUAACUCAACCACCAGGCUAAAUAUCUGUCCUCCACAGAAUUGGCUCCACUGUCAACAGAAGCUUCCACCAAUGGGCCAAGGUACUCCUCUUCCUCAAUUGACCUUGCUUCUUUAUCAUACAUUGGGUAAAAAAAAAGAAAGAAAACCAAACAGGCAGACUCACCUCAACCCCUCCUAGGAUGAAUGUGUGCCCUCCAGAGAUUUGGUCCCAACACCUGGCAGAAGCCCUUGCCAACACGCCAAAAGAUCCUCUUCCCCAGUCGAACAGAAGGCAUUCUGCCAGCUUUGGAAAAAGCCCCCCUCUCCCCAAACACACCGACCCCACUCACUGUCCAGUCUGAAACUCAGCCCUCCCCAGCUGUGGUCCCACCGCCUGGCAGAAACCUCUGCAAAGGGGCCAUGGUGCUGCUUGUCCCCAGUCUUAUCUCACCUCACUUCUCUUGAAAACCGGAGGGAACAGAUGCCUGACAUAAACCUCCAGCCUUCACCGUGGUGCCAGCAGCUGGGCAGGGCUGGCCAAGUCCCUACCUCUGGAAGAAGUCAGUCUAUGGGCUGACCAAUGACCACCUCACCCCUCUCAGCCCACUCUGCCCUCAGGCUGCAGCAACUGCCUGCCACAAGCAUUUGGAACUCCAGCCAAAGGCCCCAGGAAGAAACUCAGCUACCCUUAUGAAGGAAAAUUGUGAAACCCGACCAUCCUGUUCACGAAGAUGUGUAAAUUCAGAAUCAAGAAUUGCCAAUUGGGCAUGAAGUACCAGCCAGCCUUGGUCCCCAGGUCUCUGGCUCAUUGCAUAUCCUAAACAGUAUAGGUAUUGACUGUGAAAAAUUGAAUAAAAUUUUGUUUUAAUUUUAUUUUUUGUAGUGUUUAGUAAAUUUAUUUUAAAUAAGGAUUGCUCUAUGAAUCCUGUUGGGAAAGAAAAACCAGAGCAAAAGGGAAUAACCAUGGGAGAGAGAAAAAGAAAAAAGAAACAGCAUAUACUGUUUUACAUUCUUUCUCUGUAGUUCUUUUUCUGAAUGCAGAUGACAUUUGCUUCCCAAAGUCUAUUGGAAUUGCUUGGAUCACUAAAGCACUGAGGAGAAACAAUUUUUUCCUAGCUCAUCAAGACAAAUUCUUGCGAUUAUUUUGUCCAAAGUAUUCUUCCUUCUGCUUGUUCGAGUCGGCAUCAGUUCUUGUAAAUCUGUCCAGGCCUUUCUCAAAUGAGCUUCUUCAUCCUUUCUUAUAUAAUGCUAAUAUUUCCUCACCUUCAUAUCCAGCCACAUCUUGUUCAGCCAUUCUCCACCUGAUGGACAUCUACUGAUUUUCCAUCACUCUUCAAAAAGAUUUCCAAUGUGGAUCAUAACUCUACUGGUGGUUAUUGUUUAUAUUGUCAAAGGUGAAAAUCUAUGCAAGCAAGAAGAAAGGGGAACAACUGACCAUUCAACCUCAUUCUCUUCUGAAAUGAUCAAACGAAGGAAGAUUCAUACACAUUCAACUGGGUACAGAAAUUCAUUUCACUUAAGAAGGCAACAUGAAGGAAAAAGAGGGGACAAGAGGAAGGUAAAGAAAAGGCAGACUAAGGUAUUAUGGUGUUGGUUGUGGCGUUCAUUCCUUUCAAUCUUGGUGAUGACUCCCUGUGAUCCCUGAAGUAUGUUGUGGGAACAAACAAUCUGAGUUCUUAGGAACCAUUACCUUUAUGGGCAUGAUCUGCUCCUAGUGGCUUACUUUUGAUGUUACAUGAACAGCUGACCCCUGUUGCCAGGAAAACACUUCUCAUGAGACAUUGGGUGGUGAAGUGGAGAGAAUACCACACCUGAAAUCAGGAGGACCUGAGUUCCUCCCCCAAUAUCCUGCGUAGCAUACCGAAAUCAUAAUAGAAAUCUGGAUUAGGCCUUAAAGUCCUAAUCAAAUACGGCAAACUUAGAAAAUAAGACAAAAGGAAUUUAUUAAUACUUCAAGGGAGUAAUAUACAUUGAAUUGAAUCUGUGCUGCCUCUUUUAUGGAGAGGGUGAACAAUUUCCACAUAAAAGACCAUUUUGUUUGCUUCACUUUACAAAUGAGGAGAUGGUUUAGUCCUACCUCAUUUAUUGAUUGAUCCACAUUUUAAAUGAAAAAAGCAAAUUAGUGAGUAUGUGCCAUCACUAUCUUAUGUAGACUACCUGCCUCAUAUUGAAAGUUAAAAGCAAAGUUUUCAAAAUAGAAUCUCUCAAGAUGGACUCAACAGAAAUCUCUGACUUUCAUUUGGUUACACUAAGUAUUUCACAGUAAAGUAGUAUUUGUAAGUUUCUUUUUUUGUCUUUUUAUUUUGAAUGGUAUUUUAUUUUUCUAAAAACAUGUACAAAUACUACUUGGCAUUCAUUUCUGCAAGAAUUUGGGUUCUAAAUUUUUCAUCUUCCCUCCUUUCCUCAUCCCUAAGAUAACAAGCAAUAGGUAUGAUUCAAUAUAAACAAUGCUUUUAAACAUAUUUCCACAUUUCUCAUGUUAUGAAAGAAAAAUCAAAGCAACAGGGAAAAUAACUACCAGAAAGAAACAAAUAAAUGGAAAAAAUGAAAAUACUAAGCUUUUGGUCCACAGUCAGUCUCAAUAAUUCUGAUACUUGAGGUGGAUGGCAUUUUCCAUCCUAAAUCUAUUGGAACUGGUGUAAAGUAUCAUUUUUUUAUGAAUAAACUGAAAUAAAAAUACAUAAUAAAACAUAAAUAAUACAAAUGUAUAUAAAUAUACUAUUAAUCAACGUAAAUACAUUUGAUAAAUGAAAAAUCCCAAUAGUAUAUCAUGGUAUGUAUCCUAAAGAGCAAACAGAGGUGGGGAGUAGAUAUUACAGUAUGCUUUCACUCUACCAAUUUAUAUAUGUUAGUUUUAUUGUUAAGUGUCACGUGUCACUUGCUUAGAACUUUAUUUUAUUGAAUUAUUACAAUACUACAUAAGUAGCUUAUUUCUAUUUGGGUUUUUUUUGAAUAUUUCCUACAUUUAAUCAAGCCACUGAUUAGGUAUAAGUAUAAGAUGUAUGAAAAGGCUUGUGACCAUUUUUUAAACCUGGAAACUAAGAAUCAUCCUGAUUUUAGAAGUGGUCAUUACCCCCCAAAAAAACACACACUAAAAGGUUAAAGAACUCGAUAAUUGCAAGGUGAUUUAUAGCAAAUCAUUUAGCCAACAGUGCAUGAAGUACAUCUAUUGGAUAAUUUCCAAAUGUAGAAAGGCUCAAAGUAAGAGGUACAACUUGAGAACUACUCUGCAUACCUCCUUCCAAAAAGCAGGACUUGUUCAAGAGAAGAGAAGAGCAAUGGUUUCUUGCACGGGUAGCAGAGGGCAGAAGGAGAGAAGAGAGAGAGUCAUGCUCUUCCCCUCCCCUUGACUAGAUAAUAGCCUUGUGAACUUUAAAGAUCUGCAGCAGUGGCAUCCACCAGAUCAGGAACUAUAAAAGUGACUAUUAGCCACAUCCAUAUCGAGAACUGAGAAGCACUUUGAAGUGAAAGUGGAUACACCGAGGAAAGUCCUGCAGAACAUUCUACCUUAUGGGAGACAUUGUGAGGACUCCCCAAAGAGAGAAAAAGAUUUCCAAUCAUCAGGAGUGCUAAAUUUACUGCUUAUGAUAUCACUUUAGUAAAUACCUAUAUUUUUGGAGGCAGUCAGAGUUGUGUUUUGCCCAGAGUCACACAGCUAAUAAGUCUGAAGCUACACUGAGCUAGGUCUUCCUGACUCUCUAUCCACUGAAUCAUCCAGCUACCCCAGAAAUACAUAUUUUCUAAAGGCGAAGUGAAUCUGAUUGGCUUGUAAUUAAGGGGAAGCUCAUGAAGUUAGUAUUAUCAAACUCCUCCCAAGACCUUAACAUUAAUACUAGAAGGUUCAAGGGAGAAGUAGUCAACCAUCUUCUGAUAAUCUCAUCCACAUUCUCUGGGGUUUGAGAGCAUGAACCCAGAGAGGGUGCUUCACCAUGGAUGAAACAAGCAGGUUGAAGGAAAUAAUUUAGAUUAAAAAAAGGAAAACACUUAAGAGAAGAGCCAACUCCGGGUCAUGUAUAGGAGAAACAUAUAGCUCACAGAAGCUAGGUUUGCUCUAACAGAAAGAAACGAUUCUCCUAGCCUGAAGCUAGUGUCCCUGAACCAAACCAAGAAAAAUCAUGUGGGGCAAAACUGAGGUUAGAUACAUCAGAGGGAAGGGACAACUUUUCUCUUGAAGGAUCAGGUCUUCCUGGGGAGCAGUGUUGAAAAACCUAGCCUCAUACAAUAUACCUAUGUGUCAGUAGCAACAUAAUUCACAAGCAAUAUUUUGGUGCCAAUAAAAUAGCGGGCCAAGUAUAUGCUGCAUUCACUGAAUCCUACAUUUCCAUAUGAAAGGAGAAGUCUAAUGUUGUGAUUUUAUGUGAAUUACAUAGAAGAGAUGGUUAGAGUCCCACAAUAAGAUCUGAAAGAUAGAAAGUACAAUGAUUUAAUAUAUCGCAAAAUAAUAACUCAAUUGGACAGUGGAGAAUGUAUGCAAAAUCAAUCAUACUUUGAAGAACUGAUAAUAAAUUCACACAACGAAUUACAAAACGAAUAACAUGAACUUCCCACCCCUAAGUAGCUCAAUAACAGACUCUGAAGCUCUAUAGGAAAAGAGAGGCAAAGCAAGGCAGUAAAAGCGUUAUUCAUGAAUUAAUAUUACCAGAUGAGUAUCAGGAAAGGAAAACUGGCCUUCAAUUAAAAAAACAUGGAGAAGGAGAUUAUACACAGGUUAGAUGCCUAAUGAAGAGAAUGUAACACUGCUGAUAUAAGACUGAACCCUUCAAGACCAAUACAGGACAGACAAAAGAAAUGGCCAGAAAAAGGAGACAGACGAGGCUAGGGAAUGUUAACCCAAAUCCCCCAAAUAGGAAUCAAGACAAUUCUUAGAGGCAGGGCGAAGAUGGCAGAUUCCAGGAAGCAAUUCAGCAGAACGCUCUCAAAUUUCCCUUCUAAACAACAUGGAAAUCAUUCCAUCAAAUUUUGGAACAGCAGAGUCCAUAAAAGGUUGGGAGGAGACAUUUUUCCAGUAGAAGACAACUUAGAAAGUCAGCAGGAGAAUAUGUGACACAGAGGUGGGGGCCAGCCAAGAACCCAUGCUCUGGGCAGCAACCAGUGUGGAGUCUUAGGAGUGGCUACAACAGCCACUGCAGUAGUUUUAGGAGCUCUCAGGUCAGAGACAGUAAGGGGAGAGACAGACAGACUAAUCAGAAGGUGAUUACAGGGCACUCUUGGCUGGCCCUGGCUACAGCUGGCAGUAAUUGGCGACACUACUUCCCAGAUGCACUUCUGGGACCCAGUUCUAGAGUGGAGAAGAGCGCUUGCGGUCAGUCACAAAGGACCAGUUGCCUGAUGUUACGGGGGAGAAGGGGACCUUGAUUCCUUCCUGGGUAGCGACAGAGCACAGACCAAGAGAGCAAAGGCAGAGCAAGAGAGCAUCCUAUCCCCAGAUCACACCCCUGUGGAAGUCCUGAAAACUUGCAAACUCCCAGAACUAUGAAAAGAGCAUUUGACAAAAAUCUUAUAUUGAGGACAAGGUCUUCCCAUCUCCAGGUGACUAGUGAUCAACUUUAACAUAAAGUUCAAAGUCAACAAAUAGGCUGGAAAAAAUGAGUAAACAAACAAACAAAAAAGACCAUGAAAAGCUACUAUGGUAGCAGGGAAGACCUGAGGCAUGAUCUCAGAAGAUAACAACAAUGUGAAAAUAACUGCAAGCCAAGGCCUGAAAGGAAAAUGCUAGUUGAGCACAAGCCCAACCAGUAUUCCCAGAAGAGUCACUGAAAGUGAUACUAGUGUUAGAUGGAAAUUUGUGAAAUGAAAUCGAAAUGCAAUAAAUUAUGAAAAAAGAACUCACCAUUUCUUAAAAGAAAAUAACACCUUAAAAAAGCAAAAUUGACCUAAUGGUAAAAGAGGCACAAAAAUUCACUGAUAAAAAGAACUUUUUCAAAAGCAGAAUUGGCCCAAUGGGAAAAGAGGUACCCAAGUUCCAUGAAGAAAUUAAUUCCUUAAAAAUUAGAAUUAGGCAAAUGGAAGCGAAUGACUCCAUGUGAUAUUAAGAAACAAGAAAAGAAAGUCAUAACCAUGUGAAAAAUCUCAUUACACAAACCAUGUGAUUUGGAAAAUAGGUCAAGGAGAAAUAAUUUAAGAUUACCUAAAAACCAUAAUUGAAAAAAUAGCCUCGACAUCAUUUGUUGAGAAAUGAUAAAGAAAAACUGCUCUGAUAGCUUAGUUCCAGAGAGUAAAAUAGGAAGGAAAAGAAUCCACUAAACACCUCCUGAGAAAAGAUCGCCAAAUGAAAACUCCCAGGACUAUUGAGCCAUAUUCUAGAGCUCCCAGGAGCUCUUAUUGCAAGAAAGAGAAUUUAUUGCAAGCAUCUAGAAAGAAACCCUUAAAAUAUCAUGUUGCUACAGUCAGAAUCGCACAAGAUUUAGCAGCUUCCAUGUUAAAGAAGCAGAGACUUUAGAAUAUUUCAGAAGACAAAGGAGCUAGGAUUACUAGCAAGAAGAACUUACUCACCAUAACUAAGCAUAAUUCUUCAGGAGAAAAAAAAUCAAUGCUGAAUAAAAUAGCAAGUUCUCAUCAGAUAUUCCUGAUCAUAAAAACAGAUCUGAAUAGAAAAUUUGACAUUUAAACACAAAACUCAAGAGCAACAAAGGUAAACAUGAAAGAAUAAUCUUAAGGGAUCCAAUAAAAUUAAAGUAUUUACAUUUUAUAUGGAACUCCUAGGAACUUUAUUCUUAGGGUAUUUAGAACGAAUCUACAUAGUUAGGGAACAAAGGUGUGUUGGUUAUUAGGCUGACCUCAAAAAAAAAUGAAAGGGUAAAAAGGAGAGAUGUCCUUGGAUGUACUCGCAGAUGUACUGCCCUAGAAAGAGGGCAGAGAAAGAGGGAUGCACUGGGAGAAAGAAAACAGGAAAGGAAAAAUGAGGAAAAUGUCCUCAUUUUAAAAAAGAGCUCAAAAAAGACCUUUAAAAUUUUUAAUAGGUUUUUGAUUUCCAAGAUAUAACAUUCACGCUUGCAAAACCUUGUGUUCCAAAUUUUUCUCCCUCUCUUCCCCCUCCCCUUUCCCCCAAACAGCAAGUAAUGCACUAUAGUUUUAACAUGUGCAACUCUUCUAAACAUAAUUCCAUAUUUAUCAUGCUGCAUGAGAAAAAUCACAUCAGAAAAGGGAAAAAAUUGUUUAAGUUAAAAAAAAAAAGCAAAUAAUGGUUCUCUGCUGUGAUCCAUAUUCAGUCCCCACAGUCCUCUUUCUGGAUGUAGAUGGCUUUCUCUAUCACAAGUUUAUUGGAGUUAGCCUGAAUCACUUCAAUGUUGAAAAGAAUUAAGGCCAUCACCUCUGAUAAUCACAUCUUCUUGUUGUGGCUAUGAAUAGUUCUCUAUUCUAAUCACUUCACUUAGCAUCAGUUCAUGCAAGUCUCUAGGCCAAUCUGAAAUCAUCCUGCUGAUCCUUUUGUAUAGGACCAUAAUAUAAUAUUCCAUUACUUUCCUAUACCAAAACUUAUGCAGUCAUUCUCCAACUGAUGGGCUUCCACUCAAUUUCUACUUCCUUGACACUACAACAGGGGCUACUAUCAACAUUUGUGCACAUGUGUUUCCUUUUCCCUUUUUAGGAUAUCUUUGGAAUAAACACUCAUGCUGGAUCAAAAGGUUUGCACACUUUAAUAGCCCUUUGGGUUUAGUUCCAAAUUGGUCUCCAGAAUGACUGGGCCCGUUCACUACUCCCCCAAGCAUGUAUUAGAGUCCCAGUUUUUCCAAAACCCUCUAACAUUUAUCAUUAUCUGUUCCUGUCAUCUUAGUCAAUGGAGAGCUUUUAUAGUAGAGGAGAAGGGGAAAGGGGAUGUCAGGCAACAUUUGAAGCUCAUUUUCAUUUAUAUUGAUUCAAAGAGGGAAGACUAUAUGGACAGACUCAUUGGGGAUAGAAAUCUAUCUUUCCCAAGAAAGAAUUGGAAGGGAAAAGCAAAAAUGAGAAAAAGGACCAAAGAUGAUGAAAGAAGAGCAUGGGUUAAGGAAGGCAAUGGCCAGAAGUAAAACAUCUUUGAAAGGAGAAUGAGAUUUAUUUUUAAAUAGAGCAAAGGAUAAACAAAACAAAACAGGUUUGAGGGCAAUACAUUGUUAUAAUCAAAGUUAAAGAUGUGGAAUGUUCUGUAAUUUGAAGUGACCAUUGUGUUAUCAUUAUUCUAUAAGACAAAUAUGAGAAAACAGUACUAUUGAAAGGGCUUCAACUUGGAAGACUGUAGGCAAAAAGUAUUUUUUCAAAUCUAGGCUACAUGAGAAAUUUCCCUAGGAAGUGGAAAAUACUGCACAUACUGUGCCUCUGGCACGUCAACCCCCCUAGUCUAUGAGUGGAGUAUUGCCACUAAAUGGAAUCAGUUCUAGGCUGUUCAAGACAUUUUAAAUAACUCCACACUUUUAUUAUCUGUGCAGCAAGUGCAGAGUUCUCUAGAAGAAUAGAGGCAAAUGGUGAGAGCCUCCAUGACAAAAGCAUUAGCACAUAUGUUGCUGGGGUCCCCAGCUAGUGCAGACCUGCUGACCCCAACUGGUGCCCGAGCACUUAGCCAAUUAUCAUCUUCUCUACGACCUCCGGAGAGGGACGUCUCCGUCCCUGGUUAUGACGGAGUCAUUCUGACAUCCUUUAUGAAGUUAAAAAAGCUUUAUUGCUUGGCUCCAUCAUCUUGUCUGUCCUCCUGCUUCCUCUCUCUCGUGCUUCCCUACAUCCCUGCUCCCGGGCUUCCCUGCUUCUCCCCUCUCCCUCUGCUGCCCUGUUCCUAUGCCCCUCUCAUCUCCCCCGCCAACGUGCCCCAGCAACAAGUAGGUCUUUAGCUUGUUCAUGAAGGAGCCCAACUCCUGAGAUGGUGGAAGCGAUCUCCAUUUGGUGCAUGCUCAAUGCCUGGCCAGGCCUGGCUACCGAGUGUCUACCCCGGGCCUGCAGCCAGUGAGGCAGAACUCACACCCGGGGCCUCAACAUCCAUUCCCAAGACUGAGCUGAGGAGAUCUAAACAGCCAAAGACCACAAGGGUCAAGUUUACACAAGACUUGUCUUUGCACAGACUUGUUGCUUAUGCAAAUGGGGUAUUGUGUGCAAGCUACAUGAUGAAGGGUCUCCAGAUUAAUGCAGACUCUUGGUAUUCUGUUCCCUAGCCUUCUUCUUGCUAGGUACUCUAGCAAUAUAGUUUGUAGGUUUUACAUAUAUAUGCAUUUUUUCCAUAUUUCCAUAUGAGUCUCCACAUGAGAAUUGAGGAGAGAAAAUUCAGAAAAAAGGGAAAAUCAAGAGGAAAAAAAAGGAGAAGGUGAAAAUGGUAUGCUGCUAUCUGCAAUCAUCCCCAUGGUUCUCCCUCUGGAUGUGGGCCAUUUUCCAUCCAAAAUUGAUUGGAAUGGCUUUGGAUCACAGAUUUUCUGAGAAGAGCCAAGUCUACCAUAGUUGAUUCUCAUGCAAUCUUGUUGUUGCUUUGUAAAAUGUAUUCUACUUGCUUCACUCAGCAUCAAUUCAUGUAAAUCUUUCCAGGCUUUUCUAGCAUCACAUAAGCCUGCUCAUCAUUACUGUGUGGAAUGGAGAGAUAAAGUGAAGAAGUUACAGGAAUGUUUAAAUACUUUUUCUGUAUUUUUUAUUAUGUCUAUGUCUCUGUGACCUGCCUAAGUCAGGUGUGUGCAAGUCAAUAUUUACUUAAAACUUUAGAUAUCUUUACUUAAGCAGAAAUGAUGACAUUUAUCCUUGUUCAAUGUUAUCAAUAUUUAGAUUAUUCAAAGCCAUCAGCUCAGUAAUCUGAAGUUUGAAGGCCUGACUGAUGAUUCCUCUCAGAAUCAGGGAAACAAAGCAUUCUGUUCUCAUCUGCCUUUGGCACCAAUGGUUCACAUUCAAUUAGGGGAGAAGGCAUCUAUUUCUCAAUGCUCCCCAACCUAUGAUGUAUUCCUUUGCAACCAAACCUAUAAAAUCCAUAUAUCUUUCCUAAUUCUUUAGCCCUUCUACUGGGAGCUUUCUCUUUCCCUCCUCGCAGUGGAAUUGCUCAUUCUCAUGAGAACUUAUUAAUCAAUAACUUUUCUGCUUUCUACUGACUGAUCUCUGAGUAGUCAUUUUGGCUAAGGGACUUCUUCAUCCCUCACAUUACUUUAAUAUAUCAUAAUUUAUUCAGCUAUUUCCCAAUUGUUAGGCAUGUACUCAUUUUACAUUUUCUUUGCCACCACAAAAAGAGCUGAUAGGAAUAUUUUGUUCAUAUAUAACUUUAUUCAAGUUUUAUCAUUUUGGGGGAGAAGCAGCACUGGUGUAUCCAAAGUUUUUCAAAGGCACAUUUUUAUAAGCCUUUGGGCACAGUUUCAAAUUGGUCUCCGAAAGGGUUGAAUCACUUCACAAUUCUACCCACCAGAUCAUUGGUUAUUUUCACCUAGGGAGGAAGGAAGGAAGCAAGAAUGGAGGGAGAGAGGAAGGAAUAGAGAGAAGGAGGGGGAGAAAGAAGAAAAAGAUACAAUUGCAUGGAGAUUUCUGGCUUUUGAGCAGGAGAAAUAAAAUGGGACCAAAAAAUCAUGGCAAGAUCUGGAAGUUAUCAGAACUCUCUUAUUAGACAACCAGUGGAUCUCAGAGGUGGAUUCAUGCAAGGCUCCUAUCAAAUUCUUAAGGCAGAGGAAAACAAAAAGUUUUAGCUAGAUUUAUCAGUGCCAUGCAAAUUUAAGGUGGAAUCAGAAUCAGAAAAUCAAUAAGCAUUUACUAAGCCUAGGCAUCUUGCUAAGUGUUGAGGAUACAAAGAAAGAUACAAAGGUUCAUAAGGCAGUCUAUGUGCUCAAGGAAAUAAUUGUCUAAUAGGAAAAAGCACACAAAAAAGCUGAAAAGUUGGGGAGGGAGGGAUAAGGAGAAAAGAAGAAGGUAGGUCCAAAUGUCUACCCUCCCAGAGAAGGGGGGGGCUUCUGGAGCAAAAGGUGCUGAAGAGGAGUGAGUUUCAGCAUGGAUUCCAUUUUGCACAAUGGAAAUGAUGAAAGAGCUGACUGGGAGUUUUGUUGAAUGGUUUGACAUUGAGAUCAUUUUAAA
rnacentral:lncRNA from 1 species